rnacentral:misc_RNA from 1 species
GAUGAAGAACGUAGCGAAAUGCGAUACUUGGUGUGAAUUGCAGAAUCCCGUGAACCAUCGAGUCUUUGAACGCAAGUUGCGCCCGAAGCCAUUAGGCCGAGGGCACGCCUGCCUGGGCGUCACACGUCGUUGCCCCCCAUCUACUCCUUCGGGAUUGCGGGGGGCGGAUGAUGGCCUCCCGUGCGCCUCGUCGCGCGGUUGGCAUAAAUGCCAAGUCCUCGGCGACGCACGCCACGACAAUCGGUGGUUGCGAAACCUCGGUUGCCCGUCGUGUGCGGUCGUCGCGCAUCGAGGGCUCGAAAAAAUUGCCGGGCUCCGGCUCGGCUUUCAACGCGACCCCAGGUCAGGCGGGGUUACCCGCUGAAUUUAAGCAUAUCAAUAAGCGGAGGU